rnacentral:tRNA from 1 species
UUAAUUGAAACCAAAAAGAGGUGUAUCACUGUUAAUGAUAUCAAUGAGUUUAUACUCCAAUUAAA